ACGAGCGGCGCCGGGCGCAGCACAACGAGGUGGAGCGGCGGCGCCGGGACAAGAUCAACAACUGGAUCGUGCAGCUCUCCAAGAUCAUCCCUGAGUGCGGCGCCGACAGCAGCAAGACCGGCGCGAGCAAGGGGGGCAUCCUGUGCAA